GUACACUCCUGCGGGAGGCAGCAGUGGGGAAUAUUGGACAAUGGGCGCAAGCCUGAUCCAGCCAUGCCGCGUGAGUGAUGAAGGCCCUAGGGUUGUAAAGCUCUUUCACCGGUGAAGAUAAUGACGGUAACCGGAGAAGAAGCCCCGGCUAACUUCGUGCCAGCAGCCGCGGUAAUACGAAGGGGGCUAGCGUUGUUCGGAUUUACUGGGCGUAAAGCGCACGUAGGCGGACUAUUAAGUCAGGGGUGAAAUCCCGGGGAUCAACCCCGGAACUGCCUUUGAUACUGGUAGUCUUGAGUUCGAGAGAGGUGAGUGGAAUUCCGAGUGUAGAGGGGAAAUUCGUAGAUAUUCGGAGGAACACCAGUGGCGAAGGCGGCUCACUGGCUCGAUACUGACGCUGAGGUGCGAAAGCGGGGGGAGCAAACAGGAUUAGAAACCCCAGUAGUCCC
rnacentral:rRNA from 1 species